GACUGAGGAGUACAAGUGUGAUCAGGCUUCAGGAGGAAGAUCCUGUGGAUGCAGCUGCAAAUCACUCAGAACUCAUUCAUCAACUUCCUUGGAUGAAACUUCUAUUUCAUAAAAUGAACAUUUGUGCUUUGAGACGCCCUCAGUAAACCUUCAACCAUUUUCCAUAAUUGGGGCUUUCCUUACUACAGGUCACUAGUCUGAAAGCAUGUUUUAGCCCUUGAAAAGCACUUGUUCUCUCUUUCUAAAAUAUGCUUUUGUCAAUCUGCACUGAAGUGGAAACUAUACAUUUGUAAAUGAAGAAAAGAACGGGGCUUUAUUAUUUAAAACAGCAAAGGUAAAUCUAAUUGCCUCAAUCCUAACAUCUUACUGUUGUUGUUUUUUUAAAGAAAUCUUUAUGCCAAAAACAGCAAUAAAAUAGACCAAUUCCCA